GCUGGGUGUGGUGGCGCAUGCCUGUUGUCCCAGCUACUUGGGAGGCUGAGGCGGAAGGAUCACUUGAGCCCAGGAGUUCUGGGCAGUAGUGCGCUAUGCCAAUCUGGUGUCUGCACUAACUUUGGCAUCGAUAUGGUGAUCUCCCAGGAGCAGAAGACCAGCAGGUUGCCUAAGGAGGGGUGAACCAGCCCCGGUCAGAAACAGAGCAGAUCAAAACUCCUGUGCUGAUCAGUAGUGGGAUCAUGCUUGUGAAUAGCCUGGGUAACAUAGCCACGUCCCAUCUCUA
ensembl:misc_RNA Metazoa_SRP Metazoan signal recognition particle RNA